UUGAUCCUGCCGGAGGUCACUGCUAUUGGGAUUCGACUAAGCCAUGCGAGUCGCGAGGGUUCGGCCCUCGGCUGACGGCUCAGUAACACGCGGAUAAUCUGCCCUUAGGUGGAGGAUAACCUCGGGAAACUGAGAAUAAGACUCCAUAGAUCUAGGAGGCUGGAAUGCACUUAGAUCAAAAACUUCGGUGCCUAAGGAUGAGUCUGCGGACUAUCAGGUAGUAGUCAGGGUAAUGACCUGACCAGCCUACGACGGAUACGGGUUGUGAGAGCAAUAACCCGGAGAUGAUAUCUGAGACACGAUAUCAGGCCCUACGGGGCGCAGCAGGCGCGAAAACUUCACACUGUGCGAAAGCACGAUGAGGGAAUCCCAAGUGCUGGCUCGUAAGAGUCAGCUGUUUUUCUGUCUAGAAAACAGAGAGAGUAAGAGCUGGGUAAGACGGGUGCCAGCCGCCGCGGUAAUACCUGCAGCUCAAGUGGUGGCCGCUAUUAUUGGGCCUAAAACGUUCGUAGCCGGUCUAGUAAAUGCCUGGGUAAAUCGUACGGCUUAACCGUACGAAUUCCGGGUAGACUGCUGGACUUGGGACUGGGAGAGGCUAGAGGUACUCCUGGGGUAGAGGUGAAAUUCUGUAAUCCUAGGGGGACGACUAGUGGCGAAGGCGUCUAGCUAGAACAGGUCUGACGGUGAGGAACGAAGCCCUGGGGCGCAAACGGGAUUAGAUACCCCGGUAGUCCAGGGUGUAAACGCUGCUUGCUUGAUGUUAGUCGGGCUCCGAGCCCGAUUAGUGUCGGAGAGAAGUUGUUAAGCAAGCUGCCUGGGGAGUACGGCCGCAAGACUGAAACUUAAAGGAAUUGGCGGGGGAGCACCGCAACGGGUGGAGCGUGCGGUUUAAUUGGAUCAACGCCGGAAA
rnacentral:rRNA from 1 species